rnacentral:lncRNA from 1 species
GAUGUUAGAGAGAUUGGGUUCCACCUCGGAGACCGGCAAGCAAGAUGUUUCGCUGGCAGGAGCCAAGAAGUUCCUGGGAGGAGGGUGUGUGGAUGAGAGCUAUUCUGAGGAUUGAUCUGUGUAGCCUUAAUGUUUCUGGGAACAUAAUAGACUGUAACACUAUGUGGAUGGCAAGCAGCUGGGCAUUUGACAAGUUUAUGGUUCUGUUUAGACCAGAAAGUCUGAAAUAAAUUCUGAAUGCUAGAGAGGAUCUUACACUUUAUGUCUGUGACUAAAUGCCCUUCACCUCUUUUAGGGGGCCCUUCAGAGGUCUGUGUAAAUGUGGUAAAAUGAAAUUGGGUUGUUUUCAUUCCAGGAAUCUGGUGUGGCUAAUAAAGCAUGGAUUUCCUAGGUGACAGAGAAACGAGUGCCCUGGACUAAUGUGAGUACAGAGACCUACCUAACCGAAAAGUACUUUCUUUCCCCCCCUUCUGCCAAUGAUACUUGGACGGCGUGACAUUUUUAUCCCAUUUUAGCGCAGGUCACUGCUGUUCAUUGCUGUUGCAGAAAUAAUCAUUGUGCAUGCCUAACCUACCCUUCCAUUAUUUUUCUUCUUGUGCUGCUUUAAUAAGGUAGAUCAGGGGUGAGGAAUCUUUAGACUACAACUCUCAUGACCUCUAGGCCAUUGACCAUGAUGAUUGGGAAGUUGGAGAUGUAACUCCCAGUGUGGUCCAGUUUCCUUAACCCAGAUUUAAACCAAAAGUCUUUUAAUCAUCUUUGAGAGAUUUAGUUGCUGAGAAAAAAAAAAAUGUGCCUCUAUCAAUGUCAGGGACUGGGCAGAGGAGGAAUUUUGGAGACCACCUCUCCAUCCUGACCCUUCCAGGGAGGAGGAAGAGGAAGACAGUAUAGAUUUACAACAGUGGUUUGAGGGAGGAAGCGUCUCAGAGGCAGAUGAGGGGAAAAGCUGGGAAAUCAUGGGAGAGCCAGAGCAACACCCAGCUGACACAUCGUCAUUAGAAAGCAUUCCAGACCCUCCAUCUCCCAGAAGCCAGCGAGCCUUAAAAGUAGGAGAGCAAAGAGCUCAAAGACAGAGGGCAUGUAGCAGCAUCCGUAGAAGAGAUGGUGAGAAUGAGGAAGUGGGAGAAACGGGGAGUAGACCUUCCCCUGGGACAACGCCAUUAUCCAAGAGUCUGGGCUCUAUAACCUCUGUAAGGAUUGAAAUAAAAAAGGAUGCUAAGAAACUUUUUCUUUUCUUUAUACGUUCCUGGGCAACCAGCUGGGAGCCGCUGACAGCAUCCUGACAAUCAAUGAUGUUACAAUAGGGGUAGAAUUUGGUGGGUAAUGGUUAAUCAGUGUGUAUGCAUAGAACUACCUAUGAAUUUUUAGGAUUCUCUGGACAUUUUGUGGUCCAGAUAAAAUGCGAUUUGGACCCUCCUGUCCAUUUUACUCUAAUUUAAUAUUUUUACUAUACAGAAACCUCUUAUGCUUUAAAGUGGCCGUGUUUAAUUCCACAAUCUUUCUGCAGCAUAAAUAUACUUGCUUUAAAUUCCUAGGGUAUUAGUAUGCAUUUAUUAUUACGGCAUUUAAAACACUUCCCAACAAUCUUUAAUGAGGCAGCCAAACAAACUGCUGUGUAAUCUGUUAAUGUCGGCAUUUACAAUGUAAUUAAGAUUAAGUGUUUUGAAAAUGAAUAUCUUAUAGUUUUAUGCCUAAUAACUGCUGAUUACUGCAAAACACUUUAAAGCUGUAAUAGCUAAACAGAAUAAUUAAAAUCAUGAAAUGAGCUCUGAGUCUCUAUGGUAAGUAGAUGAAAUUAUACCUUUUCAAGUUGUCUAUUGCUCUGGGAUGUCUUCUGAUGCUGCAAGACUUCAGCAUCAUAGAUAUUCAUAUUUUGAAAAGAAUUUAUCAUGAGUGGCCUGAUGGUUUCUAAAUGCAGGAUGCUAUGAAUAUAUUUUUGCAAUAUCUCUGGGUUUUACCUUUAAUCCCACACAACUUUUCUACUCUUAACAGUCCAUUUGUAUUUUAUAAAUACUAAAAAUCUAAAUCCAUCACAAAACCUCCAGCCCGCAGACUGGCCUUGCAGGUCGUUCUAAUUUUGUCCUUGGGACUCUCUCGAGACCAUUCCCCCAUUCCAGCUCUGUUCAUAGCUGUCAACUUUCCCCUUUUCUUGCGAGGAAUCCUAUUCGGAAUAAGGGAAUUUCCCUUAUAAAAGGGAAACGUUGACAGCUAUGGCUCGGUUCCAUGCCCUCCCUACAUGCUUUCCCUGGCUGGAUUGUGUCCUUGAACUGUAAGGAUGACUUUGAGGAUGAUUCAGACAUUUUAGCUAGUGCAGAAUUUAGUGCCCAGGUUUGAGCAUAUUACACCAAUCCCAGCCCGACUGCAUUGGCUGCCAAUUAGUUUCCAGGGCCAAUCCAAAGUGCUGGCUUUGACCUAUAAAGCCUUAAAUGGCUCACGACCGCAAUACCUCAAGGACCGCCUCUUUCCAUAUGAACCUACUGGAAAUCGUCCCUACGAGAGAAGAAUGGCAGAUUAAAUUGAUGGACUAUGCCUAAAUGGCAAAAAUGACCAGAAGAAUCAGAAAUCAGGAAGACCAAGACUUUAAAAAGGAAUGGGGGAAAUUUACAAUUUAUCUUUAAAACCAUUUUAACCAGUUAAAAUUGUUACUGGGAUUGGAAUAACACUUGUAAUGAUGAACUAUGGACAUAAUGGAGAUAAAAAGAUUUGGAUCAAUAUUAAAGAUGCAGAAGGAAAGGAGUAACAAUAAGACCCACCAAGGGGAGGAGGGAAGACCAGGAGAUUCUUUAGAAUCUUGCUUUUAUAUAUUAUGUUAUUAUGUGAAUGUGAAUAUUUAUUUGGAAAAUUAAAUAAAUAGAUUUACAAGAAAAGAGAACCUACACGAAACCCUGAGAUCAUCUUCUGAGGCCCUUCUUUAUGUGCAUCCUCCAUGAAAUUUCUGGAAGGUGGCAAUAUGAGAAUAGGCCUUUUCUGCAGUGGCUCCCUCCUUCUGGAAAGUUCUCCAGAAGGAGGUUUGGCAGGCACCUUCAUUAUACACCUUUAGGCGCCAGAUGAAAAUGUUCCUCUUCAUUUGGCCUUUGUUUGAUUGAGAUCUGAUGCCUUGUUAAAUGUGUUGUGGGAUGAGGAAAUAUUGGUUUGUUUUUGUUCUUAUUUUUAUUACGCUAUAGAUUCUGCUAGCUGAAUCUAUAUGAAUAAGAAGCUUUCUAAAAUAUAUAUAUAUGAAAUGACAUAGUGAAGCAAAUUUACCAUAAACAGAGCUGAAUUUAAAAAGCUGAUUAUGAAAAAGAGACUAAUAAUAACAGCCUAACAACAGCAACAAUACAAAGAUUCUAAAAUUAAAAACAGAACAUAGCUCAUUUAUUCAGAAUUUCCAAAUACGUUAACUUUCGUAUUAUGCAUGCAGUUAAUGUCACCACAGCCAAUAUUUAUGUUUUGACGUUUCCAUUUGCAUAGUGUGACUACGCACUUGCAGUUCAAUUAGAAUAAUGGCUCUCGAGAAUGAUUAAAAAAACUAAACCAAAAACACACAAACACCACCCUCCAUUAUUUAUUGGACUCUAAAUUGGCCACAUGGUAGCCCUCGUUUAUAUCAGGCUAAUGAACUGUACCAAAUAGCAUGCAAUUUGAAUGCCUUUGGGAAGGAGGAAGCAAAACAGCAGGGAGAUAAAAGAGGAAAGGAACUGCAAAAAACCUCUUGAACUACAGUAUGGCUUUACACCAAAGGAAAAUUAUACACCAGGCCUUCAUUGAAUAGUGUGGAGGGGGGAAUCAGAAGUGUAUAAAAACUUGACAGCUAGGUAUCUUAGAGGACAGAGGGAACAUAUGCUAUGGGAGUGCCUCACAAUAACUGUAUUCAAUUG